rnacentral:rRNA from 1 species
AUAAACGCUGGCGGCGUGCCUUACGCAUGCAAGUCGAACGAGGUUACAGACUUCGGUCUGUAGCCGAGUGGCGAACGGGUGAGUAACGCGUAAGCGACCUGCCCAGAAGUGGGGGAUACCCAGCCGAAAGGCUGGCUAAUACCGCAUGAGCUCAUCGAUUCAGUUCGAUGAGGAAAGCCGAAAGGCGCUUUUGGAGGGGCUUGCGUCCGAUUAGCUAGUUGGUGGGGUAAUGGCCCACCAAGGCGACUAUCGGUAGCUGGUCUGAGAGGACGGCCAGCCACACUGGGACUGAGAUACGGCCCAGACUCCUACGGGAGGCAGCAGCGAGGAAUUUUGCGCAAUGGGCGAAAGCCUGACGCAGCAACGCCGCGUGGGGGAAGAAGGCCUUCGGGUCGUAAACCUCUUUUGCGAGGGAAGAAGUAUGACGGUACCUCGCGAAUAAGCCACGGCUAACUACGU